UGGGGUGUAGCUCAGUGGUAGAGUACUUGCCUAGCAAGCAUAAGGCCCCAGGUUCCAUCCCCAGCACUGCAA
rnacentral:tRNA from 1 species